AGAGUUUGAUCAUGGCUCAGAUUGAACGCUGGCGGCAGGCUUAACACAUGCAAGUCGAGCGGAGAUGAGGUGCUUGCACCUUAUCUUAGCGGCGGACGGGUGAGUAAUGCUUAGGAAUCUGCCUAUUAGUGGGGGACAACAUUCCGAAAGGRAUGCUAAUACCGCAUACGUCCUACGGGAGAAAGCAGGGGAUCUUCGGACCUUGCGCUAAUAGAUGAGCCUAAGUCGGAUUAGCUAGUUGGUGGGGUAAAGGCCUACCAAGGCGACGAUCUGUAGCGGGUCUGAGAGGAUGAUCCGCCACACUGGGACUGAGACACGGCCCAGACUCCUACGGGAGGCAGCAGUGGGGAAUAUUGGACAAUGGGGGGAACCCUGAUCCAGCCAUGCCGCGUGUGUGAAGAAGGCCUUAUGGUUGUAAAGCACUUUAAGCGAGGAGGAGGCUACUGAGACUAAUACUCUUGGAUAGUGGACGUUACUCGCAGAAUAAGCACCGGCUAACUCUGUGCCAGCAGCCGCGGUAACWGAGUCAGCCAGUGAUGAUUCUAYCAAUGACU
rnacentral:rRNA from 1 species